UACAGAGGUCUCAAGCGUUGUUCGGAUUCAUUGGGCUUAAAGGGUGCGUAGGCGGUGCGGAAAGUUGGGUGUGAAAUCCCUCGGCUCAACCGAGGAACUGCGCCCAAAACUACCGUACUUGAGGAAGAUAGAGGUGAGCGGAACUCACGGUGGAGCGGUGAAAUGCGUUGAUAUCGUGAGGAACACCCGUGGCGAAAGCGGCUCACUGGGUCUUUUCUGACGCUGAUGCACGAAAGCUAGGGGAGCAAACGGG
rnacentral:rRNA from 1 species